CUUGUCCUCUGUAUCUUUAAAACACCUCCACGGUGUGACCCUUCUCAGCAAAUUCUCUGCUACCAGCCCGGUCAUAUGCUGCCACUAACCAGCAUCAUAUCGUGCUUGGUUGCCGUCGUAGCAUCCUAACUAGCCUUCCUGCGUCUGUCCUUGUUGCCUUACGAUUUUUGCGGUCGGAGAUGUCCCUUCAGAGGCGGUUGAAUCAAGUCAUUUUUCUGCUGAGAAGUCUUCAAUAGUUUCCUGUCUUGCUCAGAGGAAAGUGUGAAAUCGGCAGUCUGUCGCAGACCUGAGAUUCCAAGUAACUCUGACAGAUGGUGUGCUGGGAUACAGAAGCCGAGCCCCUAAAAAAAUUCCUCGGCGGUAAAUGUGGGAAUGAAACAAAACAUGAGCAGCUGAGUGAAGAAUGAAAUGGCUGUGAUAUCAAGUCAACAACCUGUAAUACCUCUGCUGUGGGAGAUCAGAGUCUGACGGGCAAUGGAGACUAGCAAAGAGCUGUGUGUGCGUUGGGGGCAGUCUUUCAGAAGGAACUCUGGAUGAAUGGGAAACUGCUGUAUGUAACGUUUUAGUUUACUUGAGGGAUUAGGCAUUUCUUUGUUCACGUGGACAAUAAGGCAGUGAGGGCAUUCAUCUGCAGCUGCCAUAAACCGGGGGAUGGAGUGCCUUGGAAUAGCAUUAUGGAGAAGGAGGAAGGGAAAAUAAGGAAAGAAAGAUAAUGAUGAUGAUUCAGUAAAAUGAGUGAACCAGAAGGAAAGCAGAGACCCAGUUUACGCCUGAUUUAUGUGAUGAGAAUGACAUAGUAAUUUUCUUUGCCAGAUCAAGGUCAUUGAAGAAGAAUGCAUUCAAAAGAACAUAAAUGCUGUGUUCUGGAAAACUUGGGUCGCUUGAAUAUGGAAAGAUGGCUUAAAACUAGCAUGAACGUGUGAAGGGUGCUUGCCCAACCACAAAGGGUCAGAGGCGAAAAGACACUUCCCAACCUCUUACGUAAUCCACACGCAAUCAAGCACAAUUGUUAGCAAAAGAAGAGAAGAGACAGAGACACACAGAAGACGGUCCUGUGGAGAUGGUGGCAGGGACUGAGCCUUGCGGAGAAGCAAGGAGGCGUUCUUCCCUAGAGGUUCAGAGGGAGUGGGGCCCUGCCAACGCCUUGAUUUUGAACUUCUAGACUCCAGAAUUGUGAGAGGGAGCCAACCAGUAGGGGGGACAGGAGACAGACCCAAUCCAGCAUGAAAUAGAGGACUCUGUUGUUUUGUUCCUCAAAGUACGGAUCAAGAAGCAGCAGCCUUUCUGGGAACCUGUUCGAGAUGCACAAUUUCCGACCCCAUCCCGGACCCAAGACCUAAUUGCCCUUGAGGUGAUUGCAGCCCAAACUCUGUGACCUGGCAGUCAACCUGUGCGAGCCCUUUCCAUGUGCUGGGCUCCAGUCUAAAAGUUACACACUAGGUUAACCCGCUUAAUCCACACACCAGCCUGCGAGGUAGGUACUAUUAUCAUUCCCAUUUUGCAGAUAAGGAAAUGACUCACAGAAAGGUUGAGUAAUUUUGCUAAGUUGGGCAAAUGACAACUGUUGAAGUCAGGGAAACGAGCCAUAUUUACCUUUAUUUCAAAGGAAAAAUAUAUAGAAAGAAGAAGUUGUCUUGUUACUUGAGAGAGGGGUCCUGAAGGGCCAGGCCUCUCCACUCUCUGUGUCCUGAACAAAAUUGGAAGCUGCUGGAAAAGAUGUAUUUGAAGAUGCGCUUUGCAGAUCAAAGUCCAAAAUGGUGGUCUCUGUUCCUCUGUCUUGACCCAUUCUUCACCCAGUUGUAGGUUAAGCAGCAGGUAACAGCAGACUUUCUCCUCCGACAGGAAGGGUCCCUCAUGCAGGAGGCAGGACUAGAGAAGAGAGCGUGGCACUCAAGGGACAGCUCUGAAGAAAAUAAUCUAAUGAAGCCAUGGACCUUGAACACCCGAAUGCCUUCCAACAGAAACUCCCUUUUCACUGUCAUGAGAAUGAGAUCUCUCGGGAGGUGUAAGAGAGAAGGAAGAUAAAGCCUUUCCUCCCUCCUGUUGAACAUUCUGGGAGAUCGAUGUUUUGCGGGCCAGCCAGACUGGAAAAAAGGAAAAGAGUGGCUUCCUCUGAUAUCACCUUGACCCCUGUAUACAUUGAAGGUAAAUAUAAACUACUACAUCGGUUUCAGAAGAAGGUAAAGACCAUUGCAAUAGAGUGAAUAUCCCUAUAAAUUGAGUCAAAUGUAUUUUUUAGUUUCCGGUGCAUAUAAAAGUUAUAUGUACAAUAUACUGUAGUCUAUUAAGUGUGCAAUAGCAUUAUGUCUAAACAAUG